rnacentral:rRNA from 1 species
UACGAAGGGGGCUAGCGUUGUUCGGAAUUACUGGGCGUAAAGCGCACGUAGGCGGAUCGAUCAGUCAGGGGUGAAAUCCCAGAGCUCAACUCUGGAACUGCCUUUGAUACUGUCGAUCUAGAGUAUGGAAGAGGUGAGUGGAAUUCCGAGUGUAGAGGUGAAAUUCAUAGAUAUUCGGAGGAACACCAGUGGCGAAGGCGGCUCACUGGUCCAUUACUGACGCUGAGGUGCGAAAGCGUGGGGAGCAAACAGG